AGAGCGAACGCUGGCGGCAGGCCUAACACAUGCAAGUCGAACGAUCCUUCGGGAUAGUGGCGGACGGGUGAGUAACACGUGGGAACGUGCCUUUUGGUUCGGAACAACACAGGGAAACUUGUGCUAAUACCGGAUAAGCCCUACGGGGGAAAGAUUUAUCGCCGAAAGAGCGGCCCGCGUUAGAUUAGCUAGUUGGUGGGUAAAGGCCCACCAAGGCUCCGAUCUAUAGCUGGUCUGAGAGGAUGAUCAGCCACACUGGGACUGAGACACGGCCCAGACUCCUACGGGAGGCAGCAGUGGGGAAUCUUGCGCAAUGGGCGAAAGCCUGACGCAGCCAUGCCGCGUGAAUGAUGAAGGUCUUAGGAUUGUAAAAUUCUUUUAGCAGGGACGAUAAUGACGGUACCUGCAGAAAAGCCCCGGCUAACUUCGUGCCAGCAGCCGC
rnacentral:rRNA from 1 species